GGCGGACGGGUGAGUAACGCGUAGGAAUCUGCCCAAUAGUGGGGGACAACCCCGAGAAAUCCGGGCUAAUACCGCAUACGCCCUACGGGGGAAAGGAGGGGAUCUCUUCGGAGACCUUUCGCUAUUGGAUGAGCCUGCGUCGGAUUAGCUUGUUGGUAGGGUAACGGCCUACCAAGGCGACGAUCCGUAGCUGGUCUGAGAGGACGAUCAGCCACACUGGGACUGAGACACGGCCCAG
rnacentral:rRNA from 1 species